GGAAAAGGGCGGACGCGUGGCCCACGCACUGGAACGGCUCCACGUCCUGCAGACACAUUCUGGGACUGCACCUUAUGAGUGCUGCUCACUCUGUUUCCUGCAGAAGACAUACAGAGCCGUUCGCAUAGAGUAGGGCCAUGAUUUUGAUUCAGCAAUUCUUCAAACCACUGAUGCUGGUUGACCAUUUGACUUUGUUUUUGAAGUAUUUUUUACAUACAGUGUACAGAACAUUUCCGCUGGAUAUUUGGAUACUGAACAGGAGUAACAAGAGGAACAGCUCCUACCUCCCCCCUGCCCCUUCCCUCACAAGCCUGUGAGUCAGGGCAGGGGCAGCCACUGAAAGUAGCAGAGGCCUUCAUAAAGGAGAACACUUCUCCAUGUUGCCAUCAUGUGAAGAAGGACAUGUUUGCUUCUGCUUCUGCCACGAGUGUAAGUUUACUGAGGACUCCCCAGCCGUGCUGAACUGUUGAAGGCAAUGGUGAUGAAAGUAAAUAUUUAAAAACACUACCAUAGCUGUCCCAAAUUUCAGAAAAACAAGGUACCACUGGAACCAUUUAAUUUUGUUGGAACACAGAAUGACCAUCUUGUGAUCAGUUUUCUGCAUCUUUAAAAUACCUGGAAGGUCAUCUUUAAAUAGUACAAUCUGAUAAAAGUUUAAUACUUAGUGUAGACUUAUAUGAAUACUUCUACAUUCAUACAUUUUUGUAUACUUAUACAUUUUCAUACUCAAUUAAUGCUUAAUUCAAAAAAUAUCUGAGUACCUGCAGUGUUCCCCAUGCUACAUACUGGGCUUAAACAGCCAAAAAGACACAGUCUUUGACCUCAAAAUACUUUGAUUCUUGUAAGAAAAACUGACAAAGACAAAGAGAAGGCAAUGUGAAAACUUCUACAGUUGGGAUAACCUUGGAGGUUACAGGAUGUGGACUCACUGAAAGCUUUCUGCUGGACUUGAACUUGAAGCUGAAGUCUGAAGGACAGAUGGGUGUUGCUUAGCGAAGGGAAAGUAGGAAGCAAAGACCCCUGGACAGAGUGUAGCAGGCACAGAGGGAGCAUGACACCUUCGGGAGAGAGCCGCAAGCACCUGGGCCCAGAUCCCAGCUUUAGCUUCAUUAGCCCUGUGAACUCUGUAUGUCAGCCUUGACAUAGAAAAAAAGAGGAUACUAAACCUCCAUCUUAAAAGAGACUUGGAAGAAGCUGGGAUUAUAGGCACACCACCACACCUGGCCCCAGAAAAGGGAAUCCUUGACCUGCAAGAAUCGAGGAAUAUUGUUUCUGACAUGCUCAGUGGACCUACUGCUGGUGUUCUUAACCAUUUCCUUCCUAAGUGGAACUUCUUUUGAGCCUCAGAUGAAAACAACCAGUUGAGCUCCAAGUUUUCUUUCUGUGGGAGAACUUUCCUUAAAAGACAAUUAGAAAGCAAGGAAUGCGAAGAAAGAAAAUGGGAAGUUUCCUGCCUCCAAAUUAUGCUGUUGGUUCUGGCCUAAAGGAAUGUUUUCAAGGGAAGCCUGUCUGCCUUUCAUUGCCAUUUCACCUUGAUUUAAUCAUUCAGCAAAGCAUUUAUUAAUCAUCUUCUGUGUGAAAAGUACUUACCUUAGAACCACUGCAUCCUGGUACACCGACAAGUCCGUAAGGCCCGGUAUUGCCUGGGGUGCCCUGGAAGAAGAACAAGUCUCAAUGAGGAGGGUCAUCCCAAGAAACAGCACUGAACCCAAGGGAAAAGAUGCACUGAUUUAAAUAGCUCUUGAAAUAUAAAUGAUUGUUUAAAUGGUUAAGU
rnacentral:lncRNA from 10 species